GUGGGGGAUAUUGCACAAUGGGGGAAACCCUGAUGCAGCGACGCCGCGUGAGUGAAGAAGUAUUUCGGUAUGUAAAGCUCUAUCAGCAGGGAAGAAAAUGACGGUACCUGACUAAGAAGCCCCGGCUAACUACGUGCCAGCAGCCGCGGUAAUACGUAGGGGGCAAGCGUUAUCCGGAUUUACUGGGUGUAAAGGGAGCGUAGACGGCAAGACAAGCCAGAUGUGAAAGGCAGGGGCUCAACCCCUGGACUGCAUUUGGAACUGCCUGGCUAGAGUGUCGGAGAGGUAAGUGGAAUUCCUAGUGUAGCGGUGAAAUGCGUAGAUAUUAGGAGGAACACCAGUGGCGAAGGCGGCUUACUGGACGACAACUGACGUUGAGGCUCGAAAGCGUGGGGAGCAAACAGGAUUAGAAACCCUGGUAGUCC
rnacentral:rRNA from 1 species